rnacentral:rRNA from 1 species
UACGAAGGGGGCUAGCGUUGCUCGGAAUCACUGGGCGUAAAGGGUGCGUAGGCGGGUCUUUAAGUCAGGGGUGAAAUCCUGGAGCUCAACUCCAGAACUGCCUUUGAUACUGAGGAUCUUGAGUACGGGAGAGGUGAGUGGAACUGCGAGUGUAGAGGUGAAAUUCGUAGAUAUUCGCAAGAACACCAGUGGCGAAGGCGGCUCACUGGCACGUAACUGACGCUGAGGCACGAAAGCGUGGGGAGCAAACAGG